rnacentral:rRNA from 1 species
AAGCGCUCAUGACCAGACUUGGGCUUGGUUGAUCAUCCAGGGUUCUCCCUGGUGCACUCUUCCAGCCCAGGCCAGCAUCAGUUCGUCGCGGGGGAAAAAGGCUUCGGGAACGUGGCUCCUCCGGGAGUGUUAUAGCCCGUUGCAUAAUACCCUGCGGUGGACUGAGGACCGCGCAUCUGCAAGGAUGCUGGCGUAAUGGUCACCAGCGA